AUGCAUAACUAAGCUAUCCCAUAAUUUUUGGAUAAUUAUUUGGGGUUGAAAAACUAUUUUAUUUAAAUAGUCAUAUAGCCCUAAAGGCAUUUAUAGGGCAAAUGUAUUUUUAGAUAUUUUAUUUUGAGGGGAAAUUACUCCCAAAAGUUGAAUCAGGAUAAAACAUGAAUUUACAAAUUUUCUGCAAUUUAUUUGGACCAAUUUGGAGUUCAAAAUCAAAAGAUAUCAAAGAAAUGAGAAAAGGAAAAAAAAGGCUAAAAAAAAGGAAGAAACCGGACCGGCCCGGCCAAAUGGACCGAACCGGCCCAGCUCGACCGAGCCGCCCGAGCCAGACCGGCCC
rnacentral:lncRNA from 1 species